rnacentral:rRNA from 1 species
AGAGUUUGAUCAUGGCUCAGGACGAACGCUGGCGGCGCGCCUAACACAUGCAAGUCGAACGAGAGAUGAAGAGCUUGCUCUUCAAAUCGAGUGGCGAACGGGUGAGUAACGCGUGAGGAACCUGCCUCAAAGAGGGGGACAACAGUUGGAAACGACUGCUAAUACCGCAUAAGCCCACAGCUCGGCAUCGAGCAGAGGGAAAAGGAGUAAUCCGCUUUGAGAUGGCCUCGCGUCCGAUUAGCUAGUUGGUGAGGUAAUGGCCACCAAGGCGACGAUCGGUAGCUGGACUGAGAGGUUGAACGGCCACAUUGGGACUGAGACACGGCCCAGACUCCUACGGGAGCA